rnacentral:rRNA from 1 species
AUGAUACGCUGGCGGCGUGCUUACACAUGCAAGUCAAACGAUGACUUCUGUGCUUGCACAGAAUGAUUAGUGGCGAACGGGUGAGUAACACGUGAGUAACCUGCCCUUGACUUCGGGAUAAGCCUGGGAAACCGGGUCUAAUACCGGAUACGACCUCCUGGCGCAUGCCAUGGGGGUGGAAAGCUUUAUUGCGGUUUUGGAUGGACUCGCGGCCUAUCAGCUUGUUGGUUGGGGUAAUGGCCCACCAAGGCGACGACGGGUAGCCGGCCUGAGAGGGUGACCGGCCACACUGGGACUGAGACACGGACCAGACUCCUACGGGAGGCAGCAGUGGGGAAUAUUGCACAAUGGGCGAAAGCCUGAUGCAGCGACGCCGCGUGAGGGAUGACGGCCUUCGGGUUGUAAACCUCUUUCAGCAGGGAAGAAGCGAAAGUGACGGUACCUGCAGAAGAAGCGCCGGCUAACUACGUGCCAGCAAGCCGCGGUAAUACGUAGGGCGCAAGCGUUAUCCGGAAUUAUUGGGCGUAAAGAGCUCGUAAGCGGUUUGUCGCGUCUGCUGUGAAAGCCCGGGGCUCAACCCCGGGUCUGCAGUGGGUACGGGCAGACUAAAGUGAUGUAAGGGAGACUGGAAUUCCUGGUGUAAAGGUGAAAUGCGCAGAUAUCAGGAAGAACACCGAUAGACAAAGCAGGACUAUGGGGCUUUAACUGAAGCACGC